rnacentral:rRNA from 1 species
CCUACGGGUGGCAGCAGUCGAGAAUCAUUCACAAUGGGGGAAACCCUGAUGGUGCGACGCCGCGUGGGGGAAUGAAGGUCUUCGGAUUGUAAACCCCUGUUAUGUGGGAGCAAAUUACAACGAUAGUACCACACUACGAAGAGACGGCUAAAUCGGUGCCAGCAGCCGCGGUAAUACAGAGGUCGCAAGCGUUGUUCGGAAUCACUGGGCGUAAAGCGUGCGUAGGCUGUUUCGUAAGUCGUGUGUGAAAGGCGCGGGCUCAACCCGCGGACGGCAGAUGAUACUGCGAGACUAGAGUAAUGGAGAGGGAGGCGGAAUUCUCGGUGUAGCAGUGAAAUGCGUAGAUAUCGAGAGGAACACUGGUGGCGAAGGCGGGUUGCUGGACAGUAACUGACGCUGAGGCACGAAGGCCAGGGGAGCGAAAGGGAUUAGAUACCCUAGUAGUC